rnacentral:rRNA from 1 species
GACGAACGCUGGCGGCGUGCUUAACACAUGCAAGUCGAACGGAAAGGCCCUGCUUUGGUGGGGUGCUCGAGUGGCGAACGGGUGAGUAACACGUGAGUAACCUGCCCUUGACUUUGGGAUAACUUCGGGAAACUGGGGCUAAUACCGGAUAGGAGCUCCUGCUGCAUGGUGGGGGUUGGAAAGUUUCGGCGGUUGGGGAUGGACUCGCGGCCUAUCAGCUUGUUGGUGGGGUAGUGGCUUACCAAGGCUUUGACAGGUAGCCGGCCUGAGAGGGUGACCGGACACACUGGGACUGAGAUACGGCCCAGACUCGUACGGGAGGCAGCAGUGGGGUAUAUUGCACAAUGGGCGGAAGCCUGGUGCAGCAACGCCGCGUGCGGGGUGACGGCCUUCGGGUUGUAAACCGCUUUCGCCUGUGACGAAGCGUGAGUGACGGUAAUGGGUAAAGAAGCACCGGCUAACUACGUG